rnacentral:rRNA from 1 species
GAUGAACGCUGGCGGCGUGCCUAAUACAUGCAAGUCGAGCGAACGGACGAGAAGCUUGCUUCUCUGAUGUUAGCGGCGGACGGGUGAGUAACACGUGGAUAACCUACCUAUAAGACUGGGAUAACUUCGGGAAACCGGAGCUAAUACCGGAUAAUAUUUUGAACCGCAUGGUUCAAAAGUGAAAGACGGUCUUGCUGUCACUUAUAGAUGGAUCCGCGCUGCAUUAGCUAGUUGGUAAGGUAACGGCUUACCAAGGCAACGAUGCAUAGCCGACCUGAGAGGGUGAUAGGCCACACUGGAACUGAGACAGGGUCCAGGCUCCUACGGGAGGCAGCAGUAGGGAAUGUUCCGCAGUGGGCGGAAGCCUGACGGAGCAGCGCCGCGUGAGUGAUGAAGAUCUUCGGAUCGUGAAACUCUGUUAUGAGGGAAGAACAUAUGUGUAAGUAGAUGUGCACAUCGUGACGGUACCUAAUCAGAAAGCCACGGCUAACUACGUG